rnacentral:lncRNA from 1 species
UUCAACUCGACUCAGCUACCGUUGGUUUAUCCGGGGGUGCUACAGACGCAAAAGACCUUGAAUUGCAAGAAGGGCUCCAUGGACACUUUCGAUGUUAAAGGGAAGAUCGUGUUGUGCGGGGUUGGACAAAUUUCAAGCACCGAAAAGGGUGAGGUCGUUAAGGCAGCAGGCGGUGCUGCGAUGAUAGUAAUGAACCGGCCAUGGAACGGGAGCACAACGCCCGCCAAACCCCACAUCAUCCCAGCGGCCCACGUGAGCUUCACCGAUGCGUGGAAGAUCGUCACGUACUUCAAUUCCACGCCCAACGGAACGGCAGCAAUCAUCUUCAACGGCACACGAGUUGGCGUUCGACCAGCACCCUCGGUGGCUUCCUUCUCGUCGCGAGGCCCCAGCCUCAUGAACGGCAACAUCAUCAAGCCGGAUGUCAUCGCACCGGGCGUCAAUGUUCUAGCUGCUUGGCCAUUCGAGGUAGGACCUAAACCCAACCACCACCUUCGAGCCUCAUCUCACACCUUCAACUUUAAUUCGGGAACGUCGAUGGCGACCCCUCACGUGGCUGGCAUUGUGGCGAUGUUAAGGAAUAACCAUCCUGAUUGGUCUCCCGCAGCCAUUAAGUCAGCGAUCAUGACCACAGCUUACACAGUCGACGCCGAUAGGAAUCCUAUCGGCGACGAUUUCAACUCCACGGGGACACCAGCUAGUGCAUACGCCAUGGGCUCGGGCCAUGUCGACCCAUCAGCAGCCAACGAUCCGGGCCUCAUCUAUGACCUUCAUCACUAUGAUUAUAUCCAUUACCUCUGUGGCAUGGGCUUCACCGACAAACAAGUCGGAGCCAUCGGUGGCGGUUCGGUGCAGUGUUCUAAGGUCCGGGCAAUCAGCCCCGAACAGCUGAACUAUCCUUCUAUUGCGGUGUACCUAAGUGCUAAUACGACCGAGGUGACUGUCAACCGAACGGUGACGAAUGUCGGGGACGCCGUUACAACCUACAACGUGAAGUACGACGAACCGGAAGGAGUGAGAGUCGACGUUGCGCCUGAUAGGCUGCAAUUCUCCCGAUCCAGGCAGAUGAAGGAUUUUCGAGUCACGUUGAGCAUCAAGCCGGGGAGACCAACAGUUAGGAUGGCAGGGCAAGUUGUCGAGGGGCAAAUGGCGUGGUCCUCCGGAAAGUACUACGUAAGGAGUCCUAUUGCCGUCACAAUCCAGUGAAACACGAUCGUAGUUUUAAGUCCCAUGUGCAAAGCAACAUACUAGUUCUUCCCCAGGCGUAAAAGAAAGAAAAAAGAAAAAAAAAUAAUAUAAAAUAAAUAAAAACAUGUCGCCCACCAAAAAACUCUACUCCGUGGAAACUAAGAUUCUUCUUCUUUUUCUUGUUUCUUUUUCUUUUUCUUUUUUUAAUGGCACUGUGGUGAGAACAAAUCCACCUAAUUAGGCUGUUCGUGUUUUUGAACUUUGGAUCGGGAGAAAGCAAAAUAAAAAAAAUUAUUGGUAGAUCAGAUCAUAUCUGUUUUCUAUCUCAUCUCAACUUAAUGCAAUUCCUACCAUUCGUUGAAUAACUUGGCUAGAUGCAAUGGGACUAGGCCUAGUUUUAGACUUUUGAGUGGAUGCCCACUCCGAGAAGCCCACUACAAUCCAUUGGUCGUGAGUCAAUGGCUCAAUCGAGUAAAAUUAUUGCCUUUAGUAACCGUACUAGUUAUUAAAAAGGUAAACCAAGUUUAGGCCCAAAAGAGUUGUGAAAACAAAAGAUUGUCAAAUUACACCCAUAUUCUGCCAACCUCGACUAGGGAUGGAAACGAGCCGAGCUCGAGCGAGCUUAUGUCAGCUCAAAUUUAGCUUGAAAUUAGUUUCGAGCCUAAAUCUAGGCUCAAGCUCGGCUUGAAAUUAAUUCGAGCCGAGCUCGAGUGAGCCUAAUUUCGAGUCGAGCCGAGCUCGAGCUCUAAACGAGCCGAUUGAAAUUCUCGACAUUAUAUAAUCAAUAGUUUAAUUUUUAUAGAACAUUACCUAUAAUUUGAUGCAACAUAUUCAAUAGUUCAAAAUACAAAAUAAUUAUAAGAAAUGUGAGCUAGGGUGACUGUCUGACUGGAUGAGGGUUAGAGAGAGAGAGAGAGAGAGAGAUGGGAAAAAAUUAGGGAUUUGAAAAUUUGAAUGUUAUCAUGUUUUUUCGAGUUUGUUGCCAAAGCUGCGUCUGAAGAGUAGUGUGUUAUGUUUAGGUUGGGCCGCUAUUGUGGUUGUACUUGUUGGGUUUUUAUGGGCCAACAAUAAUAGCCCAAUAAAUUAAGAGUCUAUAUAUAAUUAAUUAAAAUUAUUAAUAUAAUAUAAUAUAUAUAUAAUAUAUACUUAUAAUAAUAUUUAUAUAUUAUAUAUAUAUAUUAAUAUAUAUAUUACGAGCUUCGAGCUUUUCGAGCCUAUAUUCGAUACGAUCGAGGAAUACUAACAAGCGUCGACUUGAAAUGAAUUCGAGAUUUUUAUUUUGUUCAGUCGGUAUUGAUUCGGUCCAGCGCGAGCGAUGUCGAAUUUUAUCGAGCGACACGAGGCGAAGCGAGCGGUCGUCUUUGCGCCUAACUCGACAGUUAAUUAAACAUUUUUCAAGUAGCAUAUACUAAACCAGUAAAUACAAUUAUAAAUUAAAUUAUUAAUUAAAAGUAAAAAUGUCUGAAGACCCCCUCAAACUAUAAGCAAUCUUAAAACAAGCCCCAUCAACUUUGCCUUUUUUUUUUUUUUUAUUUACACCUCCUUACUGUCGAUUAUUUAAAAUUAAGUGAUUUUUCCGAAAUAAAUUAGAGGCUUUAUCAAGUUCAUCUAUGGUCUCAUCAAUUUAAUAAUUAUAAUUAUUUUUUAGCAAAUACAAUUAGGAUGAUCAAUGGCUAAUUUCUAAAUGAGCUAUUAUUUUUUUUAAAAAAAAAUUAGCUAAAUUAAUUAGAACAACUUUAAAAAAUUAGAAAUUACUGAGGUGUCCAUUCCCAAAAGGUUAAGGAGCCUAUUUUAUAGUUGAGGGAGGCCUACACACAAUUAUAUCUUAAUUAAUUAACAACUAUGAACUAUCCUGAUCGGACUCCAUGUCGGGGGAGGAGGAGAAGGAGAAGGAGAAGGAGAAGGAGAGUGUGUUGGUGAUCUCAAUCUCGUCCUCGUCUUCGUCCUCCUCCCACGGCGAAGAAGAAGAAGAAGAAGAAGAAGAGGAGGAGGUGGAGGUGAGGUCGUCGGGGGAGAAGAGGGAUAACGACGAGUGUUGCAUACUCCCCUCCGAUCCCUUCGCCGACGAUCUCAUCCUCAACAUCUCGCUUUGCCAACGCAACGACGACGGCGAUGAUCUCGCCAUUCUCUUCGUACGAGGCCAAGUAAUCGAUUCUCUUUACUUCCCCUUUCGCUCCUUGGUUCCUACUUUGCACUAUUGAUUCGUGUUAAAUAAUUUUUCCUUAAUGGAAAGAUCAUAUGAUUGCUAUUUUAGGAAGCCCUAGUUUACAACGAGGAAUUAAGUUCUAACCUUAGUAUCUAAGUUUUAAAGAACGGUAAAAGGGGUACUUUUCCUUUCCGCAAACCAGGAUCUGGGGGUUUUACCAGUGUAUGAAAUUGCCAGAUGUUGUAAUUUCUUUCCCCUUCCUUUUUGUGGUUUUGUCUCUGCAGGUUUAUUGCGACGUGGUGAAACUAAAUUGGUAGUAAAAGAACUUGUAAUUUACUAUUGAUUAACCCUGGCGACACGCCGACACCAAUAAUUGAAAAUAGAAUGCCAUCUCAUUUUCGCGUUUGUGUACAAUAAGUUUUCUGUCAAGAAUACCACAAAAACAACUAUAACAUUGUGAGAAUUUCUUUUGUAGGAAUCAUUUAUAUGGAAUUAAACUGUUGGAGUUCAUCGACAUGUAACAUUCUUUUUUCUAAAAAAAAGUUUCCUGAAGUUGAUCGUAAGAAUUUCUAAUUUCUACCAAAUGCAGGUGGCUUGUAGAGAUCUUCCCCAUCAAAGAAAUCUCUGUGCAGAAUAUCCCUUUAGCAAGACACCUCAUGAGAGCUAUUGUCCGAAGGUAGCCUGAUCCAUCUCUUAUAUUCAGCUGAGGUGGUGCAAAUAUAUUUUAAUCUAAUUUUGAUUAACAAGUUUGAAUUUGGAUAUAAUGGUUUUUGUUUUCCUAUUACAUUGUUUAUUGGUAGUAGAUUCCCCAGUAGGGUUAUAUAAAGGAAGUUGAUGCCAUUGUCAAUGCCAAAAAUUUUAAGUUAGAAUGUGUUAAUAAGAUUACUUUUAAUAAUAUUAGAUAUCUUACUGUGCUCAUGUUGGAAUAUGUCACAACUGAUUAGAAGUAAUGCUUCUUUUCAUCUUCAUGAAUUCAUGAUUAUUUUCACAACUACUACUUUAUAAUUUAGACAUAUGCUCGAUGUUACAUGUUGUGUUAUCAAUUGGUGUGCGACAAGUAAGAGCAAUUUCUAUGGUGUUUCAACUGUAAGAUGUUUAGAGAUAAUCGCGUGGAUCUUUUUUCUAGCUUAGUUAUAAAGAUAAUGGUAGAUUAAGCAAGUAAUCUUGGUAAUUAUUUGAAUGUAGGGAGGCCAUUGCAGUGUCUGUUUAUGACUCCUGCUCUUCUUUAAGGUUGCCACCUUUUCAAACUUGAAAUCUAUCUUAAGUUUCUUGUAAGUUGGCAACCUUAAUAUGUUGAUGACAUCUUUUGCUUCUUUGGGCUGGACAAAAACCUUGUAAUUUCUGCUUGUUCAAUUAAACAAAAAGGGCCAAAGAACAAUCUACAAGCUUGACAUAAUGUCGAGAAAAAUAAAAUAGAAUUGUGCUAGAAUAUUUGAUCUUAUUCACAGGGAUUCUUAAAAAUAUCAUACUAAAUAAAAUGAUUAAAAUAUGUUACAACUAUCACACUAUCUGUUUGCCUUUCUCAUACAUAAAGGCGUAUUGAGUUCUUAUUUGAUUUUAUAGAAACUCGUGACUUCUCAAUGAUGUUAUGUAGUAUUCUCUCAUUUAGUAAUCAAUUGCUGCAGUGUUUCUGCUAUGUCUGCGAGAAAAUAGCUCCCUGUGAGGCUUGGAAGGGACCUCUAGGACACUGUCAUGCAUCUGACCAAGAAAAGAAAUGGAAGGAUAUGAGGAAAGCUAGGCAAUCAGCUCAAGCACAGGAAAUUAAGCCUUGCUCUGAAGUGUAAGAUCCCCUGAGCACCUCAUCUAUAUUUGCACCUCAUUGAAAUGGGGAUGUUGGCUUUGGAGUAAAACCAUUAAGCAUCACUUCUGGUUAAUGGCAUUUUGGGCUCUUUAGGGGCUAAGCUUGGUGCUAGCUGCCUGCACAGUGCACCUCUUAGAGAGAAUGUUCAUUUUUUGAGCAAAUAAUUUAUACUCCACGUACAUGUUUAUGUUUUUGUUUUGACUUUGCAAUUGUAAAGUUCCUGUAGAUUGUAAAUUAAGUUUUACCAUCUGGUUGAUGCCCGAGAAAUCUAUCUGAAGGACUUGAUAGGCUACAGGUGUCGUCUCCUCGCACAUUUUGGGUUUUCUUCUAGUUAUGUGGCUGAUGAGACACAGUUUACUAACAUCUAUAGAAGAGAAGAUAAAUUACUUUGAUGCAGUGAUCAAUGCUUUUUUGAGUGAAGUGCGCGAAGGGAAUAGUGUUGAAUUAACUAUUCCAAUGAUAAGUUAAUUACUAUUAAUAAGGUUGUUGCCUUUUCAUGACCACUUGAUUUUCCAAUGUAAGGUAAGAAGUGGCUAAACUUCACAUGGAAAUAUCACCUGCUGGGCCUUUUCUCAUGAGUUGGUAAUGCGAGUCUCUUCAUUUUUGUAGUAGCAUGUGAAAUUUGGCAUGCUUCUCUCUUAGCUGAAUGUGCAGUAUUCCAUCUCCAGAUCUACUCUCUUUUAUUUCUGAAGCACAACACUUCAACGCGAGGUAUGUGUGGCUCUUCUUUCUUUCUCUUUUACUCUUUCCAUCUGCAAAGGCAUUUCUUUGUCUACAGUAGAGUAGGAAAGCAAAAAAGGAAAAAAAAAAAAAAGUUUUUGCCUUAUUUCCUUUUUUCAUAUGCAUCAUUAUUGGCAUUAUUCCUCUUUGGUGCUUGCUUAACUUGUUUCUCAUUUCACCAUAGUAAAAGUAAAGCAUCUUGCAGAUUGAGGCACAAUGAAGGAGAAAUGGUAAAUAGCAUCUUCUAUUCUUUUUAGUAUUGAAUAAUUCAUAGUCAACUUCAUUUAUCUUCCUUCUAAGCUAUCUUGUAGACAUUUAGGAAAUUAUUUGUGUUUAGAUAUUUGAGAAAAAUGACUUUAACUGCCAUCUGAUGAAAAGUAAAUUCAGGUAUUAUAUGUAAAUGUUACGAAGGAUAGGUGUGAAGAUGAAAUUUGCUAGGUGGGUUUUUCAGUCGGGUCCAAUUUGCUUAGACCCAAAAUAUUUGUUUGGUUGUAACACUAUUUGGCUCAGCUAUCCCUUUAGGUUGAAGCCUUAGAGAGCUUUAGAACAGCAUAUGUAUUAACUUCAUCGCAUCCUGCAAGAUAAUAAGAUGACUUGUGUCUUUUACGUUGAAAGUUGAUUUAUAGUUUUUGACAAUAAGAUAGCCACUUAGGCCAAAGUCGGAAUAAGUUAUCCAAGGAUUGCUUAUUCAGUAUAAGGAUUUUCUAAAAUGAUUGUAAAAAAGAAGUUUGAUUUUUUGCUUCUUAAAAGAUUUUGAUAUUCACGAUCUGGCAGAAUAACAUAUUUUACUUGUAAGGUGAUAUAUUUUAUCUGAAAAAAUAGUUUGAAGGCCGAAUAAGUAUUCAAUUCGAGACAUUUGAUCAUACUCCUUAUUUACCAAAUGUACAAUCUUCUCAAGUAAAUCAUGAAAUUAUUCCUUUGAUGGAGAGCAUUGUGUUAAAAGUAAUAGCAGGGAAGAUGUUUUAGAUUUCUUUUCAUAUGAGACUGAGCAAGUGUUCUCAUGUAAAGAGAAAGAUGUGGUGGAUUCUGCAAUUCAACAAAAUGUGACAGCAAUGGGACUCCUAACAUGAUAUUUGCUACAGACCCGUGCCAUUUUCCAUUGUGAGACCUUUUUUAGGAUUCUACUCUGCUGACUCCUUGAUGCAUAAUGUGAUCUAUAAAGUUUUCUUUUGAUUAACUUGGAGAGCUGCAGCUUUUUAGGUUUAACUUCAAAGCUCACUCUUUUGGGUUCAUCAAUUUGCACCCUGUGAAGGUUUUUUUUGCAUCCUCUGCAUUCAUUGCCAUCUGAUUAAUUAUGAUUUUUGUGGAAUUUGCAUUAAGGUAUACUCGUACAAUCAUUAUUAUCUUAGAUCAAGAGAAAUGGCCUUAACUUCCGAAGUCUUACUUGUUAGAGGCUGAACCGAACUCUACUCCAAAUACAGUACCUACCCUUCAAUUCUUAGAUUCGGUUUCUUGGUUACACUUUUCUAUAAUGCCAAAAAUUUUCUGUUCUACCUUAUUUUAAACAAGCCAAGUCGAAGUAGAAUAUGAUUCAUAGUGUGGCAGAGAAAGAAAAAAUAGUAAGAGAUAGUGAUGACAUUAAGUGGUCCUAAAAUGAGUUCAUUUACCAGGAGUUACUAUGUUGUUAUGUGGUGCACUUGCUUGAUAAAUUGAUCACUUUAUGUAUCUAUGCUUUGUUGCGAGCCUGCUAAACAAAUUGAUCAAAUGUUAGAAAAUGCAGAGAAUCUUUUAAGAUACGGCUAUUAAACCAACUUAUUUACUUAAAAAUUUAUUUAAAAAUUCGGUCUUUUUGAAGCUUCUAUAGAACUGUUAUUUGUAUAGUGUUAUAGAACUGUUGUUUGUAUAGAGUUUGAAUAGUUUCUAAUAGGUAUCUACUGAAGCAUCCUCUCCUCCGUCUUGUCAUGUGAUGUAGCUGUAGAACUGUUUCUUGACUAUUGUAAGUUGACGGUGGAAAUAUACUUAAAUAAUAUUUAUUUAAGAGAAGGCCAUUUUAAGAAAGAAAAAGUUAACUUUAAUCAUUUAACUAAUGGAGAGGGUGUAUUUCCAAACUAUGCACUAUGGAGAAACAUGUUUCAUGACUAAAAUUUUGUAGCAGUAAUGCACUUUACAGUGAUACUAUGCAUUAAAAAAAGUUUGAAAAAAGAAUAUCAUGCAUAUAGGUGAUUGUAAUUAGUAUAACUGGGGAGAUUUUCCAGAUUUUCCUGUGCGUAUAGGCAAGUGCACGGGAACUUUGGCGUUAGCACGUCUUCUAUAAAAGGGUGAAUAAGCUGGUGCAUCUAUUAUUGCGUUCAACCAAAAGCCCGUAUUGCUAUUGUUAUUGUAUUGCAGGUAUAAAUGUAUGUAGUUCAAAAGCACUCGACUUGGAACUAGGAAGAAGAAAACACUUCUGGGUCUUUGGAUUCACCUAGCACGAUUAGAGAGAGAAAGAGUUCACUUAUUGCAUUUUAUAAUUGAUAAAAGUGCGCCGCAUGGCAUCCUUACUACGGAUCGUUAUUUUUUUGAGAGAAAGGUAGCACGCUAGUUACUUCAUUCAUUAGAUAAAUAAAUUUAACUAUAUAGAGUGAGACUGCUAAGACCUUGAAAAAGACAAAAGUAAAAACAAAACGUCAAAUCGAAGGGUAUAGCAAACACUGAUGUCACUCGGUUCUAUAAAAAUCUGUCCACUUUUUUGCCAACACUCCAAAUACUACGGAUCAUUAUUAGAUAUCUAAAAUGUAACCUGUUUGCUAUAAUUAAUCAAAUUAUAUCUUGCAAAGAUUUGUCCAUAGUUAAUUUGUCCACUAUUUGGUCUUUGUUACAUCUUGAUGCCCUCGGAAAGAAUAAUGAUGCAGAUGAUUAUUUUUCCUAUUUAAGGUCCACUUGCCUCUCCUCUUUGCAAGCACAUUCUAUUGCCUUGCUAGUUGCUACCAUGGAUAUUGUACAUUCAGUCUUCUACUUGCUUAUUUCUUUUUCCUUCUUCCUAUCCAAUCCAACUCUUCUCUUGGUUCACUGCCAAAUACAGCCCAUUUCUAAUGACACCCAAAUGCAGGUCUAUAUUGUUCAUGUACAAAAGCCUGACAGCACGAGCUUCCGUCGGUUCAAGGAUCGGAAAGAGUGGUACGCGUCCUUCUUGCCCAACACCACCCUCGACUCCGGCAAGCCGCGCAUGAUCUAUGCAUACCGCCGCGCGAUCAGAGGCUUCGCGGCGUGGCUCACCGCUCAGGAAGCAGAAGCCAUGAAAUCCAUGGAUGGCGUUCUCGUAGCCUACUCCGACUUCGAGUAUGAUGCUCAAACCACCUACACCCCGCAGUUCCUAGGACUAAACGCAUGGGAGGACGGCAUUUGGUAUGACUCUCAAUACGGAGCGGGGCAAAUUAUUGGGGUCAUCGACACCGGAUUUAAGCCUGGUCAUCCUUCCUUCAGGGAUACCGAUGUAAAUCCGCCGCCUGGGACGUGGAACGGAAGCUGCUACUGGAAACAAUCCGUGUGCAACAAUAAGCUCAUCGGUGCAGUGGGAUACAGGUUUGGGCACACCGUCUCACCUGAGGACAAUAACGGUCAUGGAACCCACACUGCGAGCACAGCUGCGGGGAAUUUUGUGGAUGAUGCCCACGUACUUGGCAUGGCACGCGGCACGGCCUCAGGGACGGCACCUAAAGCUCAUCUAGCAAUCUAUAAGGUGUUACACAACACCAAAACUGCUACUGGUACAGUGGCCAAAGCGUUUGCUAGCGACACUUUGAGGGGUAUCGAUGAAGCGAUACGCAAUCACGUGAACGUGCUAUCCAUGUCCCUCGGGACGGUGACGCAUCAGCUGCAUGCGAAUCCUAUUGCCAUAGCAUCAUACGCAGCAAUCACCGAAGGGAUUGUCCCUGUGGCCUGUGCUAUGAACGAAGGGCCCUAUAAAAGCAUCAUAGCGAACGAUGCGCCGUGGAUACUUACCGUUGGAGCAAGCACUACGGACAGGAGGAUAAGGGCCAUUGUCAAGCUCGGAAAUGGUAUGGAGUUCUUCGGCGAAACAGCAUACCAGCCAGAGGGAUUCAAUUCGACUCAGCUACCGUUGGUUUAUCCGGGGGUGCUACAGACGCAAAAGACCUUGAAUUGCAAGAAGGGCUCCAUGGACACUUUCGAUGUUAAAGGGAAGAUCGUGUUGUGCGGGGUUGGACAUAUUUCAAACAUCGAAAAGGGUGAGGUCGUUAAGGCAGCGGGCGGUGCCGCGAUGAUACUAAUGAACCAGCCGUGGAAUGGGAACACGACGUACGCCGAACCCCACGUCAUCCCGACGGCCCACGUGAGCUUCAGCGAUGCGUGGAAGAUCCUCACGUACUUCAACUCCAUGCCCGAUGUAACGGCAGCAAUCAUCUUCAACGGCACACAAUACGGCGCUCGACCAUCACCCUCAGUGGCUUUCUUCUCGUCGCGCGGCCCUAGCCUCAUGAAUGGCAACAUCAUCAAGCCGGACGUCAUUGCACCGGGCGUCAACGUUCUAGCCGCUUGGCCAUUCGAGGUAGGGCCUAAACCUGACCAGCACCUUCAGCCCACAACUCACACAUUCAACUUCGAUUCGGGAACGUCGAUGGCGACCCCUCACGUGGCCGGCAUUGUGGCAAUGUUAAAGAAUAACCAUCCUGAUUGGUCUCCUGCUGCCAUUAAGUCGGCGAUCAUGACUACCGCUUACAUGGUCGACGCCGAUGGGAAUCCUAUCGGCGAUGAUUCCAAGCCCGCGGGGACCCCAGCAAGUGCAUAUGCCAUGGGCUCGGGCCACGUCGACCCGUUGGCGGCCAACGACCCGGGCCUCGUCUAUGACCUUCAUUACUAUGAUUAUAUCCAUUACCUCUGCGGCAUGGGCUUCACUGACGCACAAGUCGGAGCCAUCGGUCGCGGUUCGGUGCAGUGUUCUAAGGUCCGGGCGAUCAGCCCGGAACAGCUGAACUAUCCUUCUAUGGCGGUGUACCUAAGUGCUAGUACGACCCAGGUGACGGUCGACCGAACGGUGACGAAUGUCGGGGACGCCGUUUCGACCUACGAGGUGAAGUACGACGAACCGGAAGGAGUGAGAGUUGAAGUUACGCCUGAUACGCUGCAAUUCUCCCGAGCCGGGCAGAUGAAGGAUUUUCAAGUGACAUUAAGCGUCGAGCCCGGGAGCCCAACAGUUAGGAUGGCGGGGCAAGUUUUUGAGGGGCAAAUGGCGUGGGUCUCCGGAAAGUACUACGUAAGGAGUCCUAUUGCCGUCACAAUCCAGUGAAACACGGUAUUAGUUCUCGAGUCCCAUGUGCAAAACAACGUACUAGUUCUUUCCCCGGCGUGUAAAAAAGAAAACAUAAUAUAAAAUAAAUAAAAAACAUGUUUGUCUACCAAAAGGCUCUACUUCGUGGAAACUAAGAUUCUUCUUCUUUUUUCUUGUUUGUUUUUGUUUUUUUCUUUUUUUUUUCUUUUUUUAUUAUUAUUAUUAUGGUGUCUGAUCAGAUGAAGCAAUCGGACUGAGCCCAGUUUGAGUGGAGUGUGCACUCCGAGAAACCAACUACAAUCCAUUCCUCGUGGGUCAACAGAGCAAAAUUAUUGCCUAAAAAUAGCCGUACAAGUAAAUAAAAGGUCAAAAAAGUAUGGGAACAAAAGUAGUGAAAACCAAAGAUUCUCGAAUUACGCCCAUAUUCUACCAAGCGCGACAAAAGUUAAACAUUUUUCAAGUAUCCUAUACAAAACCAGCAAAUACAACUAGAAAUUAACUAUUUAAUCCAAAAUAAAAAAAAUGUUUGAAGACCAACACCCCCCCGCUCCUCAACUAUAAGCAAUCUUAAAACAGGCCCCUUCAACUUGGCCUUUAUAUUUUUAUUUGCACCUCCCCACUGCCGAUUAUUUGAAAUUGAGUGAUUUUUCGGAAAUAAAUUAGAGGCUCUAUCAAGUUCAUCUAUGGUCUCAUCAAUUUAAUAAUUUUAAUUAUUUUUUAACAAAUAAAAUUAGGACAAUUAACGACUAUUAUCUAAAUGAGCUAUUAAUUGUUUUUUCCGUAAAAAAUAGCUAUAUUAAUUAGAACAACUUAAAAAAAAAAAAUUAGUGAGGUGUCCAUUCCAAAAAAGUCGAGGAGCCUAUUUUAUACUUGAGGGGGCUGCAAACAAUUAUAUAUCUUACUUAAUUAACAACUAUCCUGAUCGGACUCCAAAUAAAUUAAAAAGAAAUAAGGAAAUGAUUGCAUCCAAAACCAUGCCCAAAAAACAAAAAAAAAAAAGGAAAUUGAAAAGUUCUCCCUGCUUGGUCAAGGAGAGAACCUAACCAGCUUCAGUGGCAAUCCCACUGCUCGUUCAGUCACUUCUAUAAACCGGCUCUUUGUUUUCAGCAAUAAAUAAAACACCACUUCAAGAACAUUUAUACGCUUAACCUUUCCAACUACCCUAAUAUAUAUAUAUAUAUAUAUAUAUAUAUAUAUAUAUAUAUAUAUACACGNCGUCUUAUUUGUUCACUAGUGUGGUUUGUAUUAUGUGAAAAUUUUGUCACAGAGGUAAUGAAAUAGAAAGGUACGAUAGCCUUGUAUGAUACAAUAUUGGAUACCCCAACUCCCCGGAGGGGGGGAAGUUGAAGAGAGAUUAAAGUUAGGGUAAGGGGCAAUUUGUUCUCUAUUAUUGGCUGCACUUCAGGACAGUGUUCUCUAUUAUUGGCUCCACUUUGUGGUUAGAAACUUAAAUAUUUUAAGUUCCUGUAGCCUACUAUGCCUGGAAAUCAGGCUAACUAGGGGAGGCAAUCUAAACUUGCUGAUAUUUUUCAUGACAAUGAACCAUUCAUUGAUAUCAUGGUAAAUUUAGUAUUAUAAACCUUUGCCCUUUGGACGCAUCUAACAUAUCUAAUAAAGAAAACAUACAGAUCGUAAUGAACAUUGUAUGCUUGCAUUUGCUUAAUGAAGAAAAAGGGAAUUAAAAUACAAAGAUUUUGCAUAACCACAUAAAGUUGAAGGAAUAAAGCUCGACGUACCUUAGAAUAUGCUCCAAAAUAAACUGCUUGCUUGCUUGCGGAUAAUGCCAGUUAUCAUCCUCUCAUAAAUUGCACACAGGACAGCAUCUUCAGUACAUUUUGGUGUACUGAUAAAAAAAAUGCUCAAAAUAGAGGACUUAUGAAUACCCUGAAUUCAUCAUGAUUUUAGAUAUUGUAAAACAUUGCAAAGUAUGCUUCCGAAAGUUAAAUUAGAAUUGUACAUACUUGAUGCACGGAUACCCUUCAGAAGUCUUAGCAACAUCUGACAGUUGUUUAUGUCUGAUGCAGUGUUUUUGUUACGCCUGCGAAGUAGCUGCUCCCUGUAAGCAGUGGGAAGGAACAUAUGGGCAUUGCGAUGUAUCGAAAAAGUAAUAAAGGAGAAUUUAGAAGGCUUGGUAUGCACUUCCAGGAGAGAAUGGAAUUUAAGAAUGCUGAUCUGUAGACCCCCUUACUCUGUUCCAAGAGGAUUUGGGGGAUAUCUUAAGAAGGUAAAUGUUUUGGUAGUGUAUUGCUAAAGGCUUUUUUAUACCAGGGACUGAUAAAUACCAUCAUAAGUCGAUAAAGAAUCACAAUGGAAUUUAACUUCUUUCAAAUUAAUAAGACAUAAACACGGGCAUAUCGUAACUACGUCCAACCCCACGAAAACUAUCAUACUUGGGAUUCUCGCUAUUCGUAGAAUUCUAACUUUUCCAGCUACAAGUGGAAUUUCUCUAUGCUCUACCAUGCAUGCCCUGCGGCCUCGCAGGGAACUGUCUCAACACUAUUCCUUCAACCAAAGAUUACGAAGAGGAGGAAGGGAAAAAAAAAAGUCGAGAUGUUUAAAGUAACUUUUUAUCUAUUCCAGUUAAGCAAACUCUGGCUUUGGCCACUUUUAACAAGUGCAUAGUGCCGCAAACUAGGCAACAACCUUACCAGCUAAAAUAUUAUUCCUCAACAAAAGAAAACAGCAUAUCUAACACGACCAAAAUCAAACACAUCGAUUGGAUUACUACAAUUACAUUGUUCCCGAAUCCCGAAUAAUUUUAUAACAUCAACACAAGGACAGUAUUAGCACAUUCUGGUAGGGAAAUUCGCACCGACUUCGCUUACACAUUCAUUCAAAUGAUCAACUGCACAAAAAUUACAGCAACACAAACAUAUUACAAAACAGACUAGUUAACUUUGUGUAGGCAUUAAGUAACGGAGAUAAUCAAUCAAGCAUCAUCAUCAUAAGAGGCAUGGAAGUCCGUAGAACAACCUGGGGCGUCUGGAUCCUCGGCGCCGCAGCAGUCGUAGAACUUGGCCGCAUAAGGCGGAUCAUCCGGUCCAAGCUCGUAGUACCUUCGAUCAACAAGAAUAAAAGAAUCGGGAAGGAUCUAUUUAAUCCUUCGAUUUGAACAGGUUGGCUUAACUCUUCAGAUUAAUCUGAAGAAGAAGAUGAAGACGAAGAAGGAAAAAGAGAGAGAGAGAGAGAGAGAGAGAGAGAGAGAGAGAGAUCGUGGUGUGGUUAGUGUUUAGGGUUUAGGGAUUAGUCGGUGACCUCUUCUGGUCGUCGUGGCGUCGGCAAACGAAGAAGGAAGGGUGGAACCUGCAGGAGGCGGGCGUGUUUUUGGGGGGAUCGAAGCGUUGCUUGCAUCGCCGACACAGCUUCUCCACCGCAGCAGCAGCAGCAACCACCACGCCCUCUACUGCUUCCGACAUCUUCUUUCUUUCUUCCUUCCUUUCUUUCUUUCUUUCUCUCGCUCUCCCUCGCCCUCCCCCACUCGCUCUCCCCCUCCCUCUCCGCCCCUUGUCUUCUCUGAUCCCCGAGCCACGCGUCGUCACGAGGCCCAUAUAUAUAGAUAAGGCCGGCUUCUUGGGCCGGCCCAUUGUGACGCGGGUGCGAGCGGAUCGGACGGUUCAGAAAGUUUAGGUCAGGCCCGCUCCCGGAUCAAACUAAACCGAAAACUCGCAGGGAUUGCGAUUGCGGAGUCAUGAGCUUUUGAAAAGAACUUCCUUGGUCGGGAUGGUAGGAAAAUUAUGUUACGUGCAGUUAAAAAAUGUGAUUAAAAAAUAUGAUGUUUAUUUUCGUACGUAAUAUUAUAUUCCGCAUAUCGCGAUUAGUUGGUUAAGAUAUAUUUUUUACGGAGAACGCAGAAGUAUAUUCCUAUAUUCUUUUACCCCAUCUUUAUUUUAUCUAAUAACAUUAAAUAACUUUGGACGUUUCCUAUAGAAAAUAGGAUUAGAGUAGGAACUGGUGACCUACCUAGAGUAUAUAGGACUAGAGGUUGAACUGGCUUUUUGGCAUUCAGUUUAUUCUUGUUUAAGUAUUUUAGUUUUAGGAACAAAGCAGUGGAACACCCAAAUAUCAUCUCAAGUAAAAUUAACUACCAGACAACAGAAAAUUACGGCAGGGACAUUAAGGACUUCACCUUCAUGAGCAGCAAUCUCAGACAGAUAAGUUGCAUUGUGCCUUGUGUUUUCACUCGGGUCAGUGAAUUCAAUGAUUAAGCCGUACUUUCCAAUCUGCAUGUCACAACAAAAAAUUUACUCAAAUAGAAACUUUUAUAACUAAAAAUUCUUAAACAACAUAUGGAACUAAAAUAAUGACAUAGAACACCUGAAAUAAAGAACAUAGAACAGACAAGUAAAGCAGAACCUGUUAAUUGACAAGAUAAUAAGUAAUUCUUAGUGCAUCUUUGUUGGAAGAAGAAUUUGAGGAACACUUGUAAUUAAAAUAGCAUAUUAUUCAGGGGUUGAUUAUGUAGAUCAUGACAUACUAAUAAUUCCGAUAUAUUUAAGGCCUAUUAGUUGGUAAAAGAUAUACUUUCUCAUUUGACAAUCAUUUAGUAGUUUGAUCCUCAGCUUGCCUCUUUGCUGUACCAGAUGGGGUGUUUAACUUGCCUCUCACAAAUAAAUUACUCAUACAAAGUUUCAUAUCUAUUCCUAAAAAGUUUGAACUAUAAAAUUUGUGUAAUCUUGAUUGUCAAAUACAUUUCUCCAACAUUUAAAAGUAUGCAAAAUUCUAUUCAUGCAGGUUGACUAUUGUAAGUUCACGCGCGGUAGAAAUAUACUUAAAAAUAAUUUUUAUUCAAGAGUAGGGCCAUUUUAAGAAAGAAAAAGUUAACUUUAACAUUCAACUAAUGGAGAGGAUGCAUUUCCAAACUAUGCACUAUGGAGAAACAUAUUUCAAGACUACAAUUUUGGAGUAAUUAUGUAUUCAACUACUUUACAGUUUACAGUGAUAAUAAUAUGCAUGAAAAAAAAUUUGAAAAAAGAAUAUCAUAUAAGUGAUUGUAAUAAUAAGUAGUAUAACUGGGAGAUUUUCCAAAUUUCCCUGUACGUAUUGCGGUAUUGGCAUGUGCAUGGGAACUUCAGCAUUGGCACCUCUUCUAUGAAAAGGUGAAUAAGCUGGUGUAUCUAUUAUUGCGUUCAACAAAACGCCCGUAUUGCCAUUUGCAGCUAUACAUGUAUGUAGUUCAAAAGGCACUUGAUUUGGAACUAGGUAGAAGAAAACACUUCUGGGUCUUUGGAUUCGUCUAGCACGAUUAGAGAGCAGGAGAGAGAGUUCACUUAUUGCAUUUCAUAAUUCAUAUAAGUGCACCACAUGGCUUCACUUACUACGGAUCAUUAUUAGUUAUCCAUAAUGUAACCUGUUUUCUAUAAUUAAUCAAAUUAUUUCUCGCAACGAUUUGUCCGUGCAUGGUUAUUUCUUGCGAACAUUUGGAAAGGAUCCUAUUUAAGGACCAUAUGCCUCUCCUCUUUGCAAGCACACCUUCUCUAUUGCGUUGCUACCAUGGAAAUUUUACACUCAAUCUUCUACUUGCUUAUUUCUUUUUCCUUCUUCCUAUCCAAUCCAACUCUUCUCUUGGUUCACUGCCAAAUAAAGCCCAUUUCAAAUGACACCCAAAUGCAGGUCUAUAUUGUUCAUGUACAAAAGCCUGACAGCACGAGCUUCCGUCGGUUCAAGGAUCGGAAAGAGUGGUACGCGUCCUUCUUGCCCAACACCACCCUCGACUCCGGCAAGCCGCGCAUGGUCUACGCGUACCGCCAAGCGAUCAGCGGCUUCGCAGCGUGGCUCACCUCUCAAGAAGUAGAAGCCAUGAAAUCUACGGAUGGCGUUCUCGUAGCCUACCCCGACAGCGAGUAUGAUGCUCAAACCACCUACACCCCGGAGUUCCUAGGACUAAACGCAUGGGAGGACGGCGUUUGGUACGACUCUCAAUACGGGGCGGGGCAAAUCAUCGGGGUUAUCGACACCGGAUUUAAGCCCGGUCAUCCUUCCUUCAGGGAUACUGAUGUAAAUCCGCCGCCAGAGACGUGGAACGGAAGCUGCUACUGGAAACAUUCCGUGUGCAACAACAAGCUCAUCGGUGCAGUGGGAUACAAGCAUGGGCGCACCGUCUCACCUGAAGACAAGAACGGUCAUGGAACCCACACAGCGAGCACAGCUGCGGGGAAUUUCGUGGAUGAUGCUCACGUACUCGGCAUGGCACGCGGCACGGCGUCAGGGACGGCACCUAAAGCUCAUCUAGCAAUCUAUAAGGUGCUACACAUCACCAAAACUGCGAGUACUGGUACGGUUGUCAAAGCGCUUGUUAGUGACACAUUGAGGGGCAUCGACGAAGCGAUCCGGAAUCACGUAAAUGUGCUAUCCAUGUCCCUCGGGUUGGAGAAGCAACGGCUGCAUGCGGACUCUAUUGCCAUAGGAUCAUACGCAGCAAUCACCAAAGGGAUCGUCCCGGUGGCCGCUGCCGCAAAUGCAGGCCCCUUCGCGAGUGUCAUAGCGAAUGAUGCGCCGUGGAUACUUACCGUCGGAGCAAGCACUACAGACAGGAGGAUAAGGGCCAUUGUCAAGCUCGGAAACGGUAUGGAGCUCUUCGGCGAAACAGCAUACCAGCCGGAGGGAUUCAACUCGACUCAGCUACCGUUGGUUUAUCCAGGGGUGCGAAAGACGCAAAAGACCUUGAAUUGCUUGAACGGCUCCAUGGACACUUUCGAUGUUAAAGGGAAAAUCGUGUUGUGCGGGGUUGGACAUAUUACAAACAUCGAAAAGGGUGAGAUCGUUAAGGCAGCAGGCGGUGCGGCGAUGAUACUAAUGAACCAGCCGUGGAAUGGGAACACGACGUUCUCCGAACCCCACGUCAUCCCGACGGCCCAUGUGAGCUUCAGCGAUGCGUGGAAGAUCAUCACGUACUUCAACUCCACGCCUAACGGAACAGCAGCAAUCACCUUCAACGGCACACAAUACGGCGUUCAACCAUCACCCUCGGUGGCUUACUUCUCGUCUCGCGGCCCUAGCCUCAUGAACGGCAACAUCAUCAAGCCGGACGUCAUCGCACCGGGCGUCAACAUUCUAGCCGCUUGGCCGUUCGAG